rnacentral:rRNA from 1 species
UCGAACGGCAGCACAGGAGAGCUUGCUCUCUGGGUGGCGAGUGGCGGACGGGUGAGGAAUACAUCGGAAUCUACUCUGUCGUGGGGGAUAACGUAGGGAAACUUACGCUAAUACCGCAUACGACCUACGGGUGAAAGCAGGGGACCUUCGGGCCUUGCGCGAUUGAAUGAGCCGAUGUCGGAUUAGCUAGUUGGCGGGGUAAAGGCCCACCAAGGCGACGAUCCGUAGCUGGUCUGAGAGGAUGAUCAGCCACACUGGAACUGAGACACGGUCCAGACUCCUACGGGAGGCAGCAGUGGGGAAUAUUGGACAAUGGGCGCAAGCCUGAUCCAGCCAUACCGCGUGGGUGAAGAAGGCCUUCGGGUUGUAAAGCCCUUUUGUUGGGAAAGAAAUCCAUCUGGCUAAUACCCGGGUGGGAUGACGGUACCCAAAGAAUAAGCACCGGCUAACUUCGUGCCAGCAGCCGCGGUAAUACGAAGGGUGCAAGCGUUACUCGGAAUUACUGGGCGUAAAGCGUGCGUAGGUGGUCGUUUAAGUCCGUUGUGAAAGCCCUGGGCUCAACCUGGGAACUGCAGUGGAUACUGGGCGACUAGAAUGUGGUAGAGGGUAGCGGAAUUCCUGGUGUAGCAGUGAA